GACGAACGCUGGCGGCGUGCUUAACACAUGCAAGUCGAACGGUGAAGCGCCUUCCUUUUUGGUGGGUGUGGAUGAGUGGCGAACGGGUGAGUAACACGUGAGUAACCUGCCCCCUUCUUCUGGAUAACCGCAUGAAAGUGUGGCUAAUACGGGAUAUUCUGGGUCUGUCGCAUGAUGGGUCUGGGAAAGAUAUUGUUUCGGUGGGGGAUGGGCUCGCGGCCUAUCAGCUUGUUGGUGGGGUGAUGGCCUACCAAGGCGGUGACGGGUAGCCGGCCUGAGAGGGUAGACGGUCACACUGGGACUGAGACACGGCCCAGACUCCUACGGGAGGCAGCAGUGGGGAAUAGUGCACAAUGGGCGCAAGCCUGAUGCAGCGACGCCGCGUGAGGGAUGGAGGCCUUCGGGUUGUGAACCUCUUUCGCCAGUGAAGCAGGCCUGCCUCGUUUGUGGGUGGGUUGACGGUAGCUGGAUAAGAAGCGCCGGCUAACUACGUG
rnacentral:rRNA from 1 species